UCACAAGGCAAAGAGCUGCAAAGAAUGCCUGUUCUCAUUGCUGAUGGAGGACAACUAAAUCAGAACAACGGAGGCAGAAUAGAGAGUCACCAUGAACAAGGAAAUUGUAAAAGAAGAUGACAAGCUUGAUCAUUCUAUCAGAGAUAACUGAAGAGCAAAAGGUCCUGAAUGAUGCUAACAGGUAAGUUAAUGACAGGCAAGAAUUAAAUAAAUUCAUGGAGGUUGAAAAAUGGUAAUAAGUUUAAGGUUAAGAUUCUGUUAUGUGAGAUCUCAUCUUAUUUGAAUAUUUAAAUCCAAAUCUGUGAAAAAGUGCCACGUCUUGGGUACAAAUUUGAUAUAACUGUUUUAAAUAGGUUCUUAGUAUAGAACCAAAAUUACUGAGUGGCAAUGACAAUGUAACUACUAAUCAGGAUGCUAAUCAGGAUGUACAUUAUUCAUACAUAUAAAUAUAUGUAUCAAUCAUAUAUGUAUAGAUAUAGAUAUAAAUAUAGAUAUAGAUCUCCACCAACACAAAAAAUUAGGGGUUGACAUUUAAUAUAGCAGGUACUCAAAAUGACCAAGUAUACCCUGAAAGGUAAGCCAUCAGAAGAAUUUUAUAAAUAGCUUCUCCAUUUGGUAUGAUGCUGGCCUAAGUGGUAUCUAAGGUUCCUUCUAGUUUUCUCAUCUAAAUCGAUGGGGCUGUGGAAUAGAGACAUUUUCAUUUGAGCACAUGACUCUGGGUGAAUGCUUUCCCUUGAAUUACUAUUCCAUAACCACGAGAGAUGAGCAGUUAUUAAGCAGGAAUGGUUUCUCCAAUUCCUCCUGCCUUGAUCUAUGGGUGUUAUCAUCGUAGCACUCAAAUUCAAUAUUGAGUGAGCCUAGCAUCUCAAUCAAGUCACUUUUUAUCUCUUUGACUGCAUGUUGUACAAGCAAAAAUACAAACUCAGUCCUCAUAUUUCGAUGAUGCCUUUGACUUGAUUGUUUUCUAGAAACAAGCAAUUUUUUCUCUUCCAGACACGUUUUAAAUUGCAGGUCAAUUAAACUAGCAAUUUAAUUUAAUUUCUAACAUAUAUUCAAUCUACUUCCAAAGGUGACAUGUUUUAUAACACAUAUUACAGCUGAAAUAAGGAUGUUAUAAUACUAAUUCUCACCUUUGACCGUGUUUGAGUUCCUUCAUCAAGGGGUUGACGUCUUGUCGUCCCUAUAGGAGAGAAGAGUCUAGUUGAAGCUGUUGAUGGGGGUAGAUGGAUUUCUGCAUUACAUCACCAUCAGACAUUCUGAUCCCCUUGCAUCCAUGCGUUCUUUCAGACUCAUGAGUUAUAUAUGACUUAGUCUAGGUUUCCCCACAGAAAGGUGAGUUUUUAUGUAUAUCCUAUUAUCCUGUUUCAAUACUGUCCUCUGCAUUUUAUCCCCUAAUGUUUUCUUUACUAAACAUUUUGUUGACAUGUCUUUGCCAAUCACUUCAUCUCUUAAUCUUCUGCUCCUAGUUUACACCUCUAACAUAUGAUAGUAUUCUCAGAAGUAAAUAUGUAAGCACUUUAUCCAUAAGAUAAAGCAGAAAUCUUAAGUUCUGGUCAUUUCAAAUAUUUUUAAUGUUCUUGUUCAUGUUUGUUCACAUACUAUAUAAAUCUAACAACAUAUUUUGUAUACAUGUUUUAAUCUUAAAACAGAUGAAAUACGUCUAAGAAUGUAACUCAAUGGCAGAGCACUAUUCAAUAAUGCAAAGCCCAUAGAUCAUAAAAGCACAUAAACCAAACAAAAAGGAAAUAACAUCUGCAAGUGGUAAGGAAACCUCAAAUAUCCAGGAGUAUAUGUUUCUGUACUGGAGAAAUAAUAUAUAGUGUAAUUUUUGUUCUUGUUUGUAGUAUUCUCUAUAUAUCAUAAAUCUGUCAUUGUUUAUUACAGAAGUA
rnacentral:sRNA from 1 species